GGGUAAUCCUGAGCCAAAUCCUAAGUAUG
rnacentral:tRNA from 1 species